rfam:Oryza sativa (indica cultivar-group) chromosome 3, whole genome shotgun sequence.
GAUAUCAACUGAAGAAGUCAUCAACAACAAAGUUGAAUAACUCAUCAAGAUCUAAAACUUUUAUUUUGGUCAUUUCUUCAUACGAUAAAGUGAUAGUAACAUUGUUCACAAAAUUGACAUAUCUCUUAUCUGGUUUUAUAAACUAUAACACAUAUAUGUAAAAUUUAUGAAUAAUAUUACUAACAUUUCGUCAGAUGAAGAAAUAACAAAAAUAAAAGUUUUAGAUCUUGAUGAGUUAUUCAACUUUGUUGUUGAUGACUUUUUCAAUUGAAAUC